rnacentral:rRNA from 1 species
UACGGCGGGUGCGAGCGUUGUCCGGAAUCACUGGGCGUAAAGGGCGCGUAGGCGGCCUGGCAAGUCGGUGGUGAAAGCCCGUGGCUCAACUACGGGUCGGCCACCGAUACUGCUAUGGCUCGAGUUUGGUAGAGGCAGAUGGAAUUCCGGGUGUAGCGGUGGAAUGCGUAGAGAUCCGGAAGAACACCGGUGGCGAAGGCGGUCUGCUGGGCCAAGACUGACGCUGAGGCGCGACAGCGUGGGUAGCAAACAGG